rnacentral:rRNA from 1 species
UACAGAGGUCUCAAGCGUUGUUCGGAUUCAUUGGGCGUAAAGGGUGCGUAGGCGGCGCGGUAAGUCGGGUGUGAAAUCUCGGGGCUUAACUCCGAAACUGCAUUCGAUACUGCCGUGCUUGAGGACUGGAGAGGAGACUGGAAUUUACGGUGUAGCGGUGAAAUGCGUAGAUAUCGUAAGGAAGACCAGUGGCGAAGGCGGGUCUCUGGACAGUUCCUGACGCUGAGGCACGAAGGCCCAGGGGAGCAAAACGGGG